AUUGAACGCUGGCGGCAGGCUUAACACAUGCAAGUCGAGCGGAGAGAGGUAGCUUGCUACUGAUCUUAGCGGCGGACGGGUGAGUAAUGCUUAGGAAUCCGCCUAUUAGUGGGGGACAACAUUUCGAAAGGAAUGCUAAUACCGCAUACGUCCUACGGGAGAAAGCAGGGGAUCUUCGGACAUUGCGCUAAUAGAUGAGCCUAAGUCGGAUUAGCUAGUUGGUGGGGUAAAGGCCUACCAAGGCGACGAUCUGUAGCGGGUCUGAGAGGAUGAUCCGCCACACUGGGACUGAGACACGGCCCAGACUCCUACGGGAGGCAGCAGUGGGGAAUAUUGGACAAUGGGCGCAAGCCUGAUCCAGCCAUGCCGCGUGUGUGAAGAAGGCCUUAUGGUUGUAAAGCACUUUAAGCGAGGAGGAGGCUACUUUAGAUAAUACCUAGAGAUAGUGGACGUUACUCGCAGAAUAAGCACCGGCUAACUCUGUGCCAGCCGCCGCUGUAA
rnacentral:rRNA from 1 species